ensembl:lncRNA
GAGGGGGCUGUGGCUGUCUUGCCGCCUGUGCCUGGCAGAGAAGGAGGCCAGUGACAGGAGCCACGUCUUAGGGCAAUGACCAGGUGAGGGCUUCAGGCCACCUUGGGGCCCUGAAUCUGGAAUCAAGAGACACGGAGAAUGAGGACCUGUUGUGGGGUCCUCUGUGGACUGAAAACUUUUCUUCACAGCCAGAAAAAUUGCCAGUCGGGAGGGAGAGCGCACUUCGUCUUGGGCCCAACCUCUCUUUGUUCCUGCCCUUCCGGAGUGGCUGGGUGUUCUGCAGCACAGACCUCAGGUAGGUGGGGAAGCGAGCAGCGCCGUCAGACUCAGGGGCUCGCAGAACCGGUCAGGAAGGCGGGAGUUGGAGCUUCUGAGGCUCACUAUCCAACAAGGGCUGGGGGUCAGGGGGCUCGGGGCCUGCCUGCAGAGAGGCCUCCAGACGUCAGCCUUAUCUCAGGCACAGCCUCUGAAACCCUUUCCUGUGAGCCAGGCGCCAGCGUGCCCACAUGUUAACAAACAUCAUGACCUUUACUGCACACAGGCCUGGGGGAAAGUCAGGGCAACCGUUCUCACUUUGAAGUGCCGCGUCAACGGUAUGGCAUCUUCCGCGUAAAUGACACGGGGAUGACAUGCGUAGCCCGCUGUCACUUGAGUCAUUUUUUCCAGAUGUGGCAAAGGGGGGAGGCGGCCAGUGUCAUGGAAAAAGCCUGGAUUCGAGUCUCUGUCAGAGGCCGGCUAACCACACAGACUGCAGCUCCUGGCACGACUGUUUCUCCCCUGUGAUGUGGGAGGUGGAAAGGGAGUGAUCCCAGCCUGGAUCUCACCUGGGAGACGGGUUCACCUAAAGGUGGUGGGCGGGGCUUGGGAAAAAAAAAACAAAAACACUGGCUGUUGGUUUUGCAGGCAGACUGUGCAGCGGAAUACACGCUAGACUCCGUGUUUAAAGACUCAGGUUGGAGCGGAGCUACUUCUUGGUCAGGUCAGUUUAGGCAAGGUACUUACAGUCUCAAGGCUCCUGUUUCCUCACCUGUCAAAUAGGUGUAAACACCCUGAACCUAACUCCCUCGAGAGUUGGAUUAAACGAGAUGGCAAUGCACCGGAAGUGCUGGAAUUUGAUGCUGUCAAAGGUAAAAGUCCUUUUGGGAGUUCUUGCGGUGGUUCAGCGGUAAUGAAUCCAACUAGUAUCCAUGAGGACACAGGUUCAAUCCCUGGCUGGCUCAGUGGGUUAAGGAUCUCGCUGUGAACUGUGGUGUAGGAUGCAGAUGUGGCUCAGAUCCUGCAUUGCCGUGGCUGUGGGGUAGGCUCCGAUUUGACCCCUAGCCCUAGCCUGGGAACUUCCAUACAUGCCGGAGGUGCAACCCUAAAAAAGACCAAAAAAACCCCCAAAAGGUAAAGGCCUUUUGUUAGGGGCUAAGGGGGCAGGACACAUCUUGCCUCCUCAAGCCCAUUCUCUCUCUGGGGAGGAGAGCAUCCGCUAGUUGGUGGCCCCGGUAACCUGGACCAAUGGCUGGCUUCCUGCAGGGGCUUUCCUGCCAGUGCACAGUUUCGGUUUCCCCUCUCAGUCGCAAUCCAAAGCCAGAAGUGGGGAGGCACGCAGAUUUCUCAAGCAGGGGAGGGGCCCUCUGCAGAGAUGCUCUGUUUGCUGGCAUUGCUCUCCAUCACUUCUCCGUGCUUUGGGGAACAGAAGAACAGCCUGAUUACACAUCUUACUGGGUUUUCUGUUUUCUUUUUGUGACUCAUUUUUGUCAAUAUUUCAAGUAAAUACUUUUGGGGAAGAUACAUCUUGGCUCAGUUUUCUGCUCCCCAUUUUUCUCUGUGCCAGCUUGACGGGUCUUCCUUCUAUGUCCAGCCCACUGUCCUUGGGGAACAGGCUGGGGUGCUGGAGAUCACUGGUUGCCUGGGCUGUCUGUAGCCAGGACCUGAGAGGGUUUGGGCAUUACUAUAGCAUUGGAAUUCGUUUACUGUCCUUCGUGUGAGGACAGAGGGACAGGGGCCCCCUGCCUCCCCUUUGCCUUUCCUUGAAGGCAUUUGGCACUGGCUGAAAUCUCUCAGUGACCCACUCCUCUGUGUCUUGGGCCCCUGUUCAGUGCAAAAGUCCUGGGAGUUGCUACAGUCUUCAGGAGUGAUGCUUCCUAUUCCCAGAAAGUCAAGGACCAGCCUGGGAGGACUGCAACUUCCCCAAGAUUGCUAUUUUUACCAUCUUGUGUUUCCUGUAAUUAUUAGCUGUGAAACCACAAAAAUGGCCUGAGAACUUCUGUGUUGGUGAAAACGUGGAGAUUGAAAGAGUGGGUACUCAGAGAGGGCCCCUUCCCCAUCCUUCGCCCUGUGCAUCUCCUCCAUCUGGUGGUUCCUGAGUUAUAUCCUCUUAAUUUUUUAUUUUUUAAAAUUAAAAAAAAUUUUUUUGGUCUUUUUAGGGCCACACUUGCGGCAUAUGGAGGUUCCCAGGCUAGGGGUCGAAUCGGAGCUGUAGCUGCUGACCUACAUCACAGCCACAGGAACGCUUCAUCUGAGCCUCAUCCUUAACCCAUUGAGUGAGGCCAGGGAUCGGACCUGCGUCCUCAUGGAUGCUAUUCAGAUUCAUUUCCACUUAGCCAGGACGGGAAUUCCUGAGUUAUAUCCUCUUAAAAUAAACCUGUGGUCUGGUGGGUAGAUGGGUUUCCUGAGUUCUGUGAAUCACUCUAGCAAUCAAAGCCAAGGGUGGAGCGUGUGUGUAUCACUAGACCGCCGUUUGGUUGGAAGCACAGAUGACAGUCUGGACUUGUAUUUGCAUCUAAAGUUGGAAGAUGAGGGCAGUCUUGUGGGACUAAGCCCUUAACCUGGGGGAUCUAAGGCUGUCU